GGAAGUGUACCUAGGGAUCCACCUCGAGAGAGGAAGGACCAAGCGGUACAGGCCUACUUCGGUAGGUUACACCGUGGGGAUAAAAGACCCGUGGCAAGUUUC
rnacentral:misc_RNA from 1 species